rnacentral:tRNA from 1 species
GAGUGUGUAGCUUAGCGGUUUAAAGCAAUAAACUUUUAAUUUAAAGAUCUUAGGUUCAAAUCCUGAUGCACUCA